rnacentral:SRP_RNA from 1 species
GGGAGGUUGGCGGCGGACGGGCGACUCGCCAACCCGGCCAGGUCCGGAAGGAAGCAGCCGUAACGAGCUUCAGCCCGGGUCGCAGGUCAGCCUCCCGCC